CGAAAAAAAAAACAAAAAAAAAACAUAUUUUGGUUAUCAAAAGAUGUAUAUUUAAUUUAAUUAACAAGUAGCCUAUUUCUCUUCUAAUAUGGCAGGCUUUUAGGUUUUAGUAUUUUUUUAUUUAUUUCAUGAAAAAGUGUAGGGACCUCCACACAAAAUCUGCUUUGGGGCCUCUACAUACUUAAAUCCGGCCUUGACUGAUAUAAAAAAAAAAUCCUCUUUUCUUAUAUAUCUUUAUAUCAUUGGUAGCCUCUUUGAUUCCAUCAAUUCGCCUCUUCAACUCUCAUCUACGAGAACUCUUAGCGUUUAAUUGCAGUCCACGUGGAAUGUACACUUACAGGAUCAAAGCAGAGACAUACAAUUUUUGAGUUAUGUUGUCAGGUGUAUAAAUGUCUUACAACAGCUAAAAAAUAGAGUUAAUUUAUUACCAUAAUUAGGGCAUAGGUAGGUGUGUGUAAACCUUAAUUCGUGGUUAUAAUGGAAUAGUUGUCGAGUUUAUCUAUUACCCAAAACUAGGGCAUAAGUAAGUGUGUAAAGUUUAAUUCGUGGUUAUAAUGGAAUAGUUGUCGAGUUUAUCUAUUGCCCAAAACUAGGGCAUAAGUAAGAGUGUAAAGUUUAAUUCGUGGUUUUAAUAACGUUUGUACUUCCUUGAUGUGUGAACGUGUGCAGCUAUUCACUGUUUAUAUUAUAGUAUAGUAGAUAGUGGAUAAUCUUUCCGAGAUAGAAACCUUUAUAUAUACCUAGAAUAUCCACUACUCUCUAAUAUUUCCAACAAAUGCGACAGUAGUCCAGUGAUACACGGUCUUUGUCUCUCAGAAGUCCACAAGUUGUUAUCUAAUGAUAACUUCCUUGAUUGGCAAUAUUUUGAGUACUUCUAAGAAGCAAAAAAAAAAAAUUAAAAAUUAAAAAAAUAUUUUCUUGAAAACACAGCUUAAAUUGAGUAAACAGAUAGCUCCAAUCAACCGCUGCCAUGUCUAUCAAUAUUGCACAAUUUAUCCUCCUUUAGCUUAAUUAUUUUUGUCUAAAUAAAUCAAAAUUAAUUAUUUACUACUAAUUGAUUAACUGAUUGGCAUUUUUGUUUAUUGACUCAUGUGUUGGCAUCGACAAGAAAAAAAAUUCAACUUGAUCCGAGAAUGGGAACAAGACGGACACACAGACUGAAGGAAUGUUCCUUCAGAGUUGAAGAUAAUUUACUUCCUAGUCCAAACCUCCCGCAGGAUGACGGAGGAUGGAAUCAGGCAGAGUUUUAACCCGGGACCAUCAAAAAAUCAGAACAACAGUCCAGCGCGCAAACCGCACGACCAGGCAGCCAUCCUGUAAUAACAAUGACAAUCUAUCCAGUUGAGACAUAGCUACCUACCCAGGGCCCCUGCCUUGAACUAGCGGACCCUCUUAGCACUGUAUGCUUGAAGUGGUUCUUUGGGAAAAACUGUUUCCCGUGUUCAAGAACUACAUCUGCAGGAGCGGCUUAAGGUGUUUCUGUGCAAAGACAGAUGACCACUGCGUACAGCUGCAAGAGAAGAAUACCUGUGUAGUUACAGGCUACAGAUGACAUUGUACGUCAGCUGGAGUAGCUGUGAUAUAACAAUGAUUACUAUGUACCACUGCAUAAGUAGCUGUGAAUGAGAAUGAGAAGAUAACGUCUUUCUGGAGUAGUUGUGAAUUAGAAGAUAAAGUCUUUCUGGAGUAGCUGUGAAUAUGAAGAUAAAGUCUUUCUGGAGUAGUUGUGAAUGAGAAGAUAACGUCUUUCUGGAGUAGCUGUGAAUGACAAGAUAAAGUCUUUCUGGAGUAGUUGUGAAUGACAAGAUAUAGUCUUUCUGGAGUAGCUGUGAAUGACAAGAUAUAGUCUUUCUGGAGUAGUUGUGAAUGAGAAGAUAAAGUCUUUCUGGAGUAGUUGUGAAUGAGAAGAUAAAGUCUUUCUGGAGUAGCUGUGAAUGACAAGAUAAAGUCUUUCUGGAGUAGCUGUGAAUGAGAAGAUAAAGUCUUUCUGGAGUAGCUGUGAGAAGUAUGACACACAGCUGCCUUCAGUGAAGUCCAGUAGGGCGUCGGCGCCGUAGGCGCCAUUAUCCCGUUGAUCGUUAUAAAGGCUUUUAUCCAACAACCAGGCCUGGACAUGGGGCUCUUCACCCCUGUCCUGUCUGAGGGCUCCCAGCGGUAGACGGCCAUGUUGAGUGAAUGGCCUAAAUCGGACCGUGCCGUGUACACAGCGCACCGUCCCCGUUCCUGGCCCCACUCGCUAUAAGUGGCCAAGAACAGUGCUAACUGCAGGGAGGUUACCACAUGUUCCUAUAUUGUAACCGCCACUGUUUCGUGCAGGGACCGCCACUCCAGCCACGGGUCUGAUGACGGCCCCCUUUGUGGAACAGCAUGGCUGACUUUUUGGACUGGGUUCCGGGAGUUUUUUCCAUCCCAACCCCGGGUGAGAGGAAGAAAAAAAUUUCACCCAGGGAAGCCCGGCGGGGCCUGGUUCGCUACUCGUACUUAGCCUAUCUAGUUCCACUACUAGACCGUUUCCACCAGGGCGCCACGCUGAGGCGACGGGUAGCUGGAUUCCUCUGGGGCACACACCUGCAGAAGUCGCCAUAUCGUUUCAUCAGCAUGAGGAAGCUUACUUAUUCAAAUGCCUUGACAGGCAGUCUUGUUUGAGGCAUUUCAUAAAUUCUACAAUCGACUAUUUAUUUUACAGUUGUGAUACCGACCUAUAAUAAGAACUCUUCUAACAACGAUGUCUUCUAUUCCGAUGAUUAAGGUUUAGUGCAGUGCUUCACAUGACUACGAAUACCAAUUAGCGACCUGCAUUUUUUUCCACACGUCAUACAGACGAAGUAGUCUAAUUAGCUUAACGUUUAUGCGCCUGUCUCCUGUUAAAGCUUUUCUUUGGGAAUCAAAUAUAUCCGGCGGCCUUCCCUAGAAGUUUCAAUCUUUCUCUUUAAAGAAGCGGUGAGGAUAUAAACUCAGAACUACUCUCUUUGCUAUGUGUUUAAAAAAGCAUGUUUUUAUAAAAUAUACAGACGGUAGUGGAAAUGUAAUCAUUUUCUUUUUCGAUCAUUGUACAAUACACUGAACACUUUAUAAAUGCAUUUGAAUUCGAUGAUGUCCAUUGCUGACAUCCAGCGUGCUGAGAGUUUGGUUCUGGCCUCUUCUGGCUAAUAAGGCUUUUUUUUUAGCCCAAUAGGAAUUUGCAAAUUAUUUUUGAAUGGACUCCUGAAUGGAUAGCAGUGACCUUCUGAUAUAACAUUUUCGAAAGUUGUUUUGAUUUCUUCUAAUUUAAGGACCAGAACGCCGCUCCAUGUAAUGGUGUUUUUGCCGAGAGUCUUAACACAACGAACGUCUUAUCUUAUCUUAUAUAAUACAGACGUUACUACAAAAAAAGAAGAUGAUUACGUCCUACGCGUCAUGCAUUCAGUCAUGCAUGUUAACCAAUGACUUAAAUUCUGCCAAGUCAGUGGUUUUCCUGGCUAGCUCAGACGACCCAUUCCAUGCUCUAAUAGCGCUAGGGAAGAAGGAGUAUUUGUAAAAAUUUGUCCUAGCAUAUGGGACGAGGAAUGUGCCUCUUUAACUUUAAGUGCGUUAUUAAUUUCAAUGAGAGGAAAUAUUUAUCUGCAAGUGGACAAGAGCUAUGUCAAUAGUUAACAUUGAAAUCCACUGCUUUGAGGUCAGGUUUGAUUUUAUUACUAACUGUAACGACUAUCCUACUAUCCAGGCUCUCUGCAAACUACACCACACGACACAACGAACUUAAAGAACCUUAUAGCUCGGGGCUCCAAAGUAUCAGUAACAGUUUAAUUUUUAAAAAAUGACAAACACUGUACAGUUGGCUCGUCUAGCGCUGGACUGGGGCGAUUUGCGUAAGCUAAAAACACACACACAGCCUACGACCAUCUGUGUCACCCACCAGGUUUAUAACUUUAAUUACGUAAUUAACUUCAGUGAGAGGAAAUAUUUAUCUGCAAGUAGACAAGACCUAUGUCAGUACACUUCUUUGAGGAGAUGAGAAUGUGGCUUGGGCGAUGAACAUUGUUUAAAGUGAGGUAGAUUGGCGCUGCAUCAGCCUCACGCUCUUGUCCCAUGCCAGCUGAAUUCAGUGGCAGAAUAAGGUCAAGAUAACUGGAGCUGGUUUGGGGUGCAGUGGAUGACCAGUGGAUGACCAGUGAGCUCUACAUAUCCCACAGUGUUCGGUACGUUCCACGUCGUUUGCUAUGUGACGCCUGAUGGCCAUGGUAGUCCAAUACGGUGAUUUGAGCGCCCUGCAGCCGUAACUAGACUUCACAUUUUGUAACAUGCAUAAACAAGGUUUCUACCUAACAGGAACGCUUAUGAAAAAUAAAUUAU